GGAGUCUAGACCCCUAGAGUACAGAACAAUAACCGUCACAAAUUUCAUCUAUCCUUGAUCCUCUGGCAUGGAUACUAAGAGAGCCACCCAUGCGUUUUCACUUCCUUGCUAAGACUUGGAGAGGUGCUUCCCUUCUAGCAGGACAGGUGUGGAACCCAAAGGAAGAUGAUAGGGUGUUAGGAGUCUAGAACCCUAGAGCACAGAACAAUAACCCUCACAAAUUUCAUCUAUCAUUGAUCCUCUGGCGUGGAUACUAAGAGAGCAAC